rnacentral:rRNA from 1 species
AUUGAACGCUGGCGGCAUGCCUUACACAUGCAAGUCGAACGGCAGCGGGCCUUCGGGUGCCGGCGAGUGGCGAACGGUGAGUAAUGCAUCGGAACGUGCCAUUGAGUGGGGGAUAACGUAGCGAAAGUUACGCUAAUACCGCAUAUUCUGUGAGCAGGAAAGCAGGGGACCGCAAGGCCUUGCGCUCUUUGAGCGGCCGAUGUCAGAUUAGCUAGUUGGUGAGGUAAAGGCUUACCAAGGCGACGAUCUGUAGCGGGUCUGAGAGGAUGAUCCGCCACACUGGAACUGAGACACGGUCCAGACUCCUGCGGGAGGCAGCAGUGGGAAUUUUGGACAAUGGGCGCAAGCCUGAUCCAGCCAUGCCGCGUGAGUGAAGAAGGCCUCGG